AAAGAUUAAGCCAUGCAUGUCUAAGUAUAGGCACUUUAUACUGUGAAACUGCGAAUGGCUCAUUAAAUCAGUUAUCGUUUAUUUGAUAGUACCUUACUACAUGGAUACCUGUGGUAAUUCUAGAGCUAAUACAUGCUAAAAACCCCGACUUCAGGAAGGGGUGUAUUUAUUAGAUAAAAAACCAACGCCCUUCGGGGCUCCUUGGUGAAUCAUAAUAACUUAACGAAUCGCAUGGCCUUGCGCCGGCGAUGGUUCAUUCAGAUUUCUGCCCUAUCAACUUUCGAUGGUAGGAUAGUGGCCUACCAUGGUGG
rnacentral:rRNA from 2 species